UAACUCUACUUAUAGGGCUGUGUUUUGGAUUGGUAAAUCAGUUCUUCUUUUGUUAGACAUUUCAGUUGGUGAGUUGGUGCAAGGAAUACUUAAAUACUAGUUCUAGUAUUCCUUGGUUGAUGCAUGGAUGUCUCAAGAUAUUACAAGUGUGUUUAUAUUGGCUGUGGAACUGGAGCCGAUAGGAAACUUCCUUCAGGUGUCGGACUACAUCAAUUUCCCUAAUCCUUAAUUCGAUGUAGUUGCCCUCAUCGAAAUUCAUAAGUUGUCAGCAUCUUAUCAAUAUGACAUCAUUAUUAAAACUUUAAAAAUGUUGGAUGAUUUAAGCUUCUAUGUCAUCAGCAUGUCAUUUCCCAUUUGCCAAUCAUCCAAUUAACAGAAAAAUGCUUGUUGAUUAUAUGUGUAAUGGAUGUCUUUCGACUUCAAUUUGGAAUCCAAUAAACUCCAAUAAAACAUUACCUCCUUUUUUCGAUAUGGUACAUAAUUUUAAAAAUUGUGUGUAAAUACUCUACUUACUCAAAGUUAACUUCCCAAGCUGGGAUUUGGGAAAUCGAUUUAGUCCGACACCUGAAGGAAGUUUUCUAUCUGCUCCAGUUCGACACCCAACAUAAACACACUUGUUUACCAUAAUGAAUGAAUUAUUUUAUUAUUAUAAGAUUAAUAUCUAUUAAAUAAAUAUAAUAUAAUUUGAAUAAACUGAUACAAUAUAA
rnacentral:lncRNA from 1 species